rnacentral:rRNA from 1 species
GACGAACGCUGGCGGCGUGCCUAAUACAUGCAAGUAGAACGCUGAAGGAGGAGCUUGCUCUUUCCGGAUGAGUUGCGAACGGGUGAGUAACGCGUAGGUAACCUGCCUGGUAGCGGGGGAUAACUAUUGGAAACGAUAGCUAAUACCGCAUAAGAGUAGAUAUCGCAUGAUAGCUGCUUGAAAGGUGCAAUUGCACCACUACCAGAUGGACCUGCGUUGUAUUAGCUAGUUGGUGAGGUAACGGCUCACCAAGGCAACGAUACAUAGCCGACCUGAGAGGGUGAUCGGCCACACUGGGACUGAGACACGGCCCAGACUCCUACGGGAGGCAGCAGUAGGGAAUCUUCGGCAAUGGACGGAAGUCUGACCGAGCAACGCCGCGUGAGUGAAGAAGGUUUUCGGAUCGUAAAGCUCUGUUGUAAGAGAAGAACGAUGUGUGAGAGUGGA